GAUGAACGCUAGCGGCAGGCCUAAUACAUGCAAGUCGAACGGGAUUGGGGAGCUUGCUCCCCAUGAGAGUGGCGCACGGGUGCGUAACGCGUGAGCAACCUGCCCGUCCCAGGGGGAUAGCCCGUUGAAAGACGGAUUAACACCGCAUGACGUAGUUAACUGGCAUCAGUAUACUACCAAAUAUUUAUAGGGGACGGAUGGGCUCGCGUGACAUUAGCUAGUUGGAGAGGUAACGGCUCACCAAGGCGACGAUGUCUAGGGGCUCUGAGAGGAGAAUACCCCACACUGGUACUGAGACACGGACCAGACUCCUACGGGAGGCAGCAGUAAGGAAUAUUGGUCAAUGGGCGGAAGCCUGAACCAGCCAUGCCGCGUGCAGGAAGACGGCCCUACGGGUUGUAAACUGCUUUUGUACGGGAAUAACCCCUAUUAUGUAUAAUAGGUUGAAUGUACCGUAAGAAUAAGGAUCGGCUAACUCCGUGCCAGCCGCCGCCGUAA
rnacentral:rRNA from 1 species